rnacentral:rRNA from 1 species
GCUCAGGACAAACGCUGGCGGCAAGCCUAACACAUGCAAGUCGAACGAAUAAUUGCCUAUAGUCUUUGGACUAUAAGUAGUUGUUAGUGGCAGACGGGUGAGUAAUGCGUAGGAAUCUACCUAGUAGUAUGGAAUAGCUAUUAGAAAUGAUGGGUAAUACUGUAUAAUCCCUGCGGGGGAAAGAUUUAUCGCUAUUAGAUGAGCCUACGUUAGAUUAGCUAGUUGGUAAGGUAAUGGCUUACCAAGGCUAUGAUCUAUAGCUGGUCUGAGAGGACGAUCAGCCACACUGGAACUGAGAUACGGUCCAGACUCCUACGGGAGGCAGCAGUGGGGAAUAUUGGACAAUGGGCGAAAGCCUGAUCCAGCUAUGCCGCGUGAGUGAAGAAGGCCUUCGGGUUGUAAAACUCUUUCAAUAGGGAAGAUAAUGACGGUACCUAUAGAAGAAGUCCCGGCAAACUCCGUGCCAGCAGCCGCGGUAAUACGGAGGGGGCAAGCGUUGUUCGGAAUUAUUGGGCGUAAAGGGCACGUAGGUGGACUAGUAAGUUAAAAGUGAAAUACCAAAGCUUAACUUUGGAGCUGCUUUUAAUACUGCUAGACUAGAG